UUCUACGGGAGGCAGCAGUGGGGAAUAUUGGGCAAUGGGCGCAAGCCUGACCCAGCAAUGCCGCGUGAAGGAAGAAGGCCCUCGGGUUGUAAACUUCUUUUAUCAGGGACGAAGGAUGUGACGGUACCUGAUGAAUAAGCCACGGCUAACUACGUGCCAGCAGCCGCGGUAAUACGUAGGUGGCAAGCGUUAUCCGGAUUUACUGGGUGUAAAGGGCGUGUAGGCGGGAAAGCAAGUCAGAUGUGAAAACCACGGGCUCAACCUGUGGCCUGCAUUUGAAACUGUUUUUCUUGAGUACUGGAGAG
rnacentral:rRNA from 1 species